GAGUUCUUCCUCUCACUGAUUGGAAUAGCGCUGAGGGUUUUUAAGGAGAAGGUGUCAAGUAAGGGGGAUUCCAGUCAAGUGUUGUGCACUGUGGGGAAGAUUUCAGCAAGGAGGUUUUGCUGUGGUAUACCUUGUUUCCAGCAACAGUUACUUCGUCCAGCAGUAACUUUCCUUGCCUGUGGUGUAACAGGAGCAGCUGAGAAGUAAGGACUUUGACGCGAGACGCGU